GACGAACGCUGGCGGCGUGCUUAACACAUGCAAGUCGAACGGAAAGGCCUCUUUCGGGGGGUACUCGAGUGGCGAACGGGUGAGUAACACGUGAGUAACCUGCCCUUGACUUUGGGAUAACUUCAGGAAACUGGGGCUAUUACCGGUUAGUAGCUCCUGCUGCAUGGUGGGGGUUGGAAAGUUUCGGCGGUUGGGGAUGGACUCGCGGCUUAUCAGCUUGUUGGUGGGGUAGUGGCUUACCAAGGCUUUGACGGGUAGCCGGCCUGAGAGGGUGACCGGCCACAUUGGGACUGAGAUACGGCCCAGACUCCUACGGGAGGCAGCAGUGGGGAAUAUUGCACAAUGGGUGGAAGCCUGAUGCAGCAACGCCGUGUGCGGGAUGACGGCCUUCGGGUUGUAAACCGCUUUCGCUCAUGACGAAGCUUUGUGUGACGGUAGUGGGUAAAGAAGCACCGGCUAACUACGUG
rnacentral:rRNA from 1 species